AUGGGCGCAAGCCUGAUGCAGCCAUGCCGCGUGUGUGAAGAAGGCCUUCGGGUUGUAAAGCACUUUCAGUCGUGAGGAAGGUGGUAGUGUUAAUAGCACUAUCAUUUGACGUUAGCGACAGAAGAAGCACCGGCUAACUCCGUGCCAGCAGCCGCGGUAAUACGGAGGGUGCGAGCGUUAAUCGGAAUUACUGGGCGUAAAGCGCAUGCAGGUGGUUUGUUAAGUCAGAUGUGAAAGCCCGGGGCUCAACCUCGGAAUAGCAUUUGAAACUGGCAGACUAGAGUACUGUAGAGGGGGGUAGAAUUUCAGGUGUAGCGGUGAAAUGCGUAGAGAUCUGAAGGAAUACCGGUGGCGAAGGCGGCCCCCUGGACAGAUACUGACACUCAGAUGCGAAAGCGUGGGGAGCAAACAGGAUUAGAUACCCUGGUAGUCCACGCCGUAAACGAUGUCUACUUGGAGGUUGUGGCCUUGAGCCGUGGC
rnacentral:rRNA from 1 species